UACGUAGGGUGCAAGCGUUGUCCGGAAUUAUUGGGCGUAAAGAGCUCGUAGGCGGUUUGUUGCGUCGGCUGUGAAAUCCCGAGGCUCAACCUCGGGUCUGCAGUCGAUACGAGCAAACUAGAGUGUUGCAGGGGAGACUGGAAUUCCUGGUGUAGCGGUGAAAUGCGCAGAUAUCAAGCAGAACACCUGCGGCGAAGGCGGCCUUCUGGACGAUGACUGACGCUGAGACGCGAAAGCGUGGGGAGCAAACAGG
rnacentral:rRNA from 1 species